GAUGAACGCUGGCGGCGUGCCUAAUACAUGCAAGUCGAGCGAACAGACGAGGAGCUUGCUCCUCUGACGUUAGCGGCGGACGGGUGAGUAACACGUGGAUAACCUACCUAUAAGACUGGGAUAACUUCGGGAAACCGGAGCUAAUACCGGAUAAUAUAUUGAACCGCAUGGUUCAAUAGUGAAAGACGGUUUUGCUGUCACUUAUAGAUGGAUCCGCGCCGCAUUAGCUAGUUGGUAAGGUAACGGCUUACCAAGGCAACGAUGCGUAGCCGACCUGAAAGGGUGAUCGGCCACACUGGAACUGAGACACGGUCCAGACUCCUACGGGAGGCAGCAGUAGGGAAUCUUCCGCAAUGGGCGAAAGCUUGACAGAGCAACGCCGCGUGAGUGAUGAAGGUCUUCGGAUCGUAAAACUCUGUUAUUAGGGAAGAACAAAUGUGUAAGUAACUAUGCACGUCUUGACGGUACCUAAUCAGAAAGCCACGGCUAACUACGUG
rnacentral:rRNA from 1 species